rnacentral:tRNA from 1 species
UCUAAUAUGGCAGAAUAGUGCAUUGGAUUUAAGCUCCAAAUAUAAAUUUAAUUUUUUUAGAA